AAGCGCUAGCCACCGUGGGGAGAGGACGUACGCCGCUUCGUCUCCACCUCACAUCACUGAACUCUCCACUCCUCCACAUCCUCCGCCUCCUCCACCUCCUCCCCCCACCCCCCACCACCCCCUUCUGCCACCGGGGGGAGUUGGGGAAGCGAAGUGUUGGGGAAAAAAAGUUAUAAAAAUUCCCAAAAAUUAUAUCGAAGUUUUUUGAGAAUUUUGUUUUUGCGAGGCAGAAAAAAAUUGCUUGUGUUUUUUUUUUUGUGAGAGAGAGAGAGAGAGAGAGAGAGAGAGAGAGAGAGAGAGAGAGAGAGAGAGAGAGAGAGAGAGAGAGAGAGAGAGAGAGAGAGAGAGAGAGAAACUUGUAAUUGUUUUUCUUUCUUUCUUGUUUAAAAGGUAAGGCGAAAAGAAAUUAGAGAUAGAGAAAGAGAAAGAGAGAUAAAGAGAGACAGAGUGAGAAAGAGAGAGAGAGAGAGCAAGAGAGCGAUGUUUUAAGAUAAGAAAAGAAAGAGAAAACAGAGAAAGAAAGAAAGAAAAGAAAGAGAGAGAGAGAGAGAGAGAGAGAGAGAGAGAGAGAGAGAGUGUGUGUGACGAUAAUAUAAACUUUUUGGGAUUAAUACAAGAAAGAAGAAAAAGAGAAUAAGGAAAAAAAGAAAGAGAGAGAAAAAAGAAGAAGAAAGAACACAACAAGAAGAAAGAAGAAUUAGAAGACAAGAAGAUUAAAAACUUUAGAAGAGGGAAAAAAAGAUAAAAGAAGAAAAUAAAGAAGAAGAAGGAAGAAAAAAUACUGGAAUUCACUAAAAAAAUAAAGAAAUAGAGAGAAAUAAUAAAGGAGGAAAGAGAGAAAAGAUAACAAGUGAAUAAGAAGAAAACAAAGAAGAAAAGGAAAAGAAGAAAAGAAGAAAAAUACAUUAAUUCAAUCAAAAAGGAGGAAAUAAAGAAAAUAGAGGAAGAAAAAGUAGACAAAAUAUAAGAAAAAAAUGAAUUAAGAGGAAGACAAAGAAGAAAAACGAGGAAGAAAAAGAAGAAAAGAAAAAGUAAGAGAGAGGAAAGAGAAAGAAAGAUAAUAAAGGGAGAAGAAGAAAAAGAGAGGAUGACAAUGAGUGAAUAAGUAGAAAACAAAGAAGAAAAAGAAGAGGAAGAAGAAAAAAGAAGAAAAGGAAGGGAGUGAGUCUGAGGUAAUUAACGAAUUAUAAGAGAGGGGGAAAAAAGGAAAGAAGAAAAACACCUGGAGGAAAAAUAAAGAAGAAAAAAGAGGAAAACAGAGGAAACAGGAGAAAGAGAAAACAAGAGGAAGAGAAAAAUAAGUGAAUGUAAAAAAUAAUUAACAGAGAAAGAGAGAAAGAGAGAAAGUGGGAAAGGAAGAAAGAAAGGAAGAAAAGAAAGAAGGAAGAGGGAAAACCUUGAUAAAAGAAGACAAAAAAUGAAAUAAAUAAUGAUAAUAUAAACGAAAGAGAAAUAGAAAAGAUAAAUGUAGGAAGAGAAAGAGAAAGAGAGAAAGGAGAAGAGAAAGAGAGAAAAAGAGGAGAAAGAAAUUACACAGAGAAGCUUAGAAAGGAAGAAAAGAAAAAAAGAAGAAAAGGAGAGAGGAGAAAAUAAUGAAAGGAAGAUGAAGAAACUGUUGAAUAAAUAAAAAAUAAAAAUAAUAAGAAAGAAAGAAAGAAAGAAAGAAAGAAAGAAAGAAAGAAAGAAAUGGAGUGAUAUUGAGAGAACAAAAGGAGAAAGAGAGAGAGAGAGAUAGAGAAAAGUUUAUUACGACACAAAAAAAGGAAAGACCGAAGAGAGAGAGAGAGAGAGAGAGAGAGAGAGAGAGAGAGAGAGAGAGAGAGAACAUUAAUCAGCUGUUUCUCUCUCUCGACAAUGCACGUGUCUGUCCUCUCCUCCUCUUCCUCCUCCUCCUCCUCUUCCUCCUCCUCCUCCUCCUCCUCCUCUACCAACCUUCCUCCUCCUCUCCAUACCUUCUCCUUCCCCCCCUCUAGUGUCAGUUAAGUUCCCUCCUCCUCCUCCUCCUCCUCCUUCUCCUUAACAAGAAGACAAGGCGAUUAGUGAUUUAGGAGAGAGAGAGAGAGAGAGAGAGAGAGAGAGAGAGAGAGAGAGAGAGAGAGAGAGAGAGAGAGAGAGAGAGAGAGAGAGAGACGCGAACUGGAAUACAAAUUUGAAAGGUAAUUAGAAAGUUAAAAAAAAAGAAAGAGAAAGAGGGAAGAAGAGAAAAAGAGAAAGAAAAAGGGUGAAAGAGGAAAUAAAAAAAACCAAAGAAAAAUAAAAUAAGAAGUAAAGAAAGGAGGUAGAAAGAGAAGAAAAAGAGAGCAAGUGUAAAGAAGAAACAGAAAAAGAAGAGGAAGAAGAAGAAAAGAAGAAAAGGAACAAGAACAAGGAGGAAGAGAAGAAAAGGAGUCUAAAGAAGAAAACGAAAAAAAGAGGAAAUUAGGGAAAGAAGAAAAAGGGAACAGGAAGAAGACAAAAGAAGAAAAUUAACAAGACAAAAAAGGAGAAAGAGAAGAAAAGAAGAAGUUUAAAGGAGCAAACGUAGAAAGAGGAAAAGAAGGAAGGGAAAGAAGAAAAAAGGAACAGGAGGAAGACAAAAGAAAAAAAGGAAGACAAGAGAAGAAAAUUAACAAGACAAAUAAGGAGAAAGAGAAGAAAAGAAGUUUAAAGAAGCAAACGUAGAAAGAGGAAAAGAAGGAAGGAAAAGAAGAAAACAAUAACAGGAAGACAAAAGAAGAAAAAGGAACGAGACGAACAAAAGAGAACUGUCUCCUGCAAUUUGAAUAGAAAACGAAGAAAAACAAACGAGAGGAGAGAAGAAAAAAACACGAAGAAAAGAAGAAAAAUAAGAACAAUGAAAAAUAAAUAAAAAAAGAAGAAAAGAAAGAAAAAACAACAGAUAAACAGGACACAAGAAAAUAAGAAAAAAACAAAGAAAAAAGAAGAAAACAGAGAGAGAAGAAAAGAGAGAGAGAGGAAAGAUUUGAUUUAUUGAGAAAGAAAGAGAAAAAGAAGACAAAA